UGCGGCCUCACCAGGGUGGCGAAAGGCACCUGUAUGCCCUAGCCUGAUGGUACGGGCGCUCCGGGGUAGUCCCCCGGACGCGCUCGGUGCUCGUGGUCCUUAGACGACGCGCGACUUGCGGACGGCGGGUAACACCGUCGCACGUCGGUCGUGUUCCUCCGCGGCUCUUGACUAGCACCUAGUGCUAACAUAAGGUCCGCGGUUGUAGCCGCAAGGCAACAAAGCCGGGAGCUUCGUGUCCCUAUCUACUAUCUAGCGAAACCACAGCCAAGGGAACGGGCUUGGAAAAAUCAGCGGGGAAAGAAGACCCUGUUGAGCUUGACUCUAAUCUGGCAUUGUUCGGAGACAUGCCGAGGUGUAGCAUACGUGGGAGACCCGGACCAAGGCGGGCGGUUUCGGCCGUUCGUCUCCGGGCCGACCUUGAAAUACCACUACUCGCAUCGUUUCCCCACUUACUCGGUAGAGCGGAACGCGCGGUUCCGGCCGCGGGCGCGUCCGGCCGGCGGUCGUCGUCCCGUCGCGUCGUCGGUUUGCCGUCGGUUCGCCGGCGCGCUACUGGCGCGCGGCGUGGUCGCCGUGCCGUCGGCCUGUGCCCGUUCGUGCCGGGCCGCGGUUGAUAUUCCGGUAGCGUUAAGCACCAGCCGAGGGAUCCGGGCGUCAAACCGCGGACCGCGUCCGUCCGCGUACGGCCGACCGUCAAAAGUCGCCGUCCGCGUUCGCGGCGUAUCCGCGGGCCCGGUCCCUGGUGCGAUCCGUAUUCCGAGGACACCGCCAGGUGGGGAGUUUGACUGGGGCGGUACUUCUGUCAAAAAAUAACGCAGGUGUCCUAAGGCCAGCUCAGCGAGGACGGAAACCUCGCGUAGAGCAAAAGGGCAAAUGCUGGCUUGAUCCCGGACGCUCAGUACGCGUAGGGACUGCGAAAGCAUCGGCCUCUCGAUCCUCUCGUCCGCUGAAGAGUUUUCAGCGAGAGGUGUCAGAAAAGUUAC
rnacentral:ncRNA from 1 species